GGAGUCAUAAGUGGUCUGUCCCUUCGACAUAUGUCUGUGUAAAAUUCCCAAAGGUUGGGAAUCUUUUGCUCUAAUUGAAUUGCUUGUUAAGUUAAUGUCCUAUGUGCUAUUUCAGGAUGGACCCAACUAUGAGGUAUAGAGUUCAAAUGGUUUCCAAAGUCCCUAAAAAGUUAGUCAAGUGGUGGUUUACGUUUAACUACGCUGAGCAGCACGAGCUAAAGAUAGUGUUGGGUAAUCUUACAGCCCUUAUGCGUCUCGC
rnacentral:lncRNA from 1 species